rnacentral:tRNA from 1 species
GGUAGGGUAGCUCAACGGUAGAGCGCCGGUCUCAUAAGCCGGAUCGUGGAGGUUCGAGUCCUCCCCCUGCCACCA